AAACUAACAAGGAUUCCCCUAGUAGCGGCGAGCGAAGCGGGAAGAGCUCAAAUUUAUAAUCUGGCACCUUCGGUGUCCGAGUUGUAAUCUCUAGAAGUGUUUUCCGCGUUGGACCGCACACAAGUCUGUUGGAAUACAGCGGCAUAGUGGUGAGACCCCCGUAUAUGGUGCGGACGCCCAACGCUUUGUGAUACACUUUCGAAGAGUCGAGUUGUUUGGGAAUGCAGCUCAAAUUGGGUGGUAAAUUCCAUCUAAAGCUAAAUAUUGGCGAGAGACCGAUAGCGAACAAGUACCGUGAGGGAAAGAUGAAAAGCACUUUGGAAAGAGAGUUAACAGUACGUGAAAUUGUUGGAAGGGAAACGCUUGAAGUCAGACUUGCUUGCCGAGCAAUCGGUUUGCAGGCCAGCAUCAGUUUUCCGGGGUGGAUAAUGGUAGAGAGAAGGUAGCAGUUUCGGCUGUGUUAUAGCUCUCUGCUGGAUACACCUUGGGGGACUGAGGAACGCAGUGUGCCUUACGGCGGAUUUCUCGAGAUCUUCACACUUAGGAUGCUGGUGGAAUGGCUUUAAACGACCCG
rnacentral:rRNA from 1 species